GUGAAUGUUUACCGCUGUGAAAACCUCAUAUUCUUUACCUUUUCCUUCUCUUCCCUUAUAAUGGGGAUACUUAUGUCCCAAAACACUACUACAAUUAUGUAACAUAAAUUCAAUCUCCACAAAGAAAUCUUUAUUUAUUUUUCAGAGGCACCAUGGUUUCAUAAGACUUUGCUACAAGAUAUGGUAGUAAAAGCUGAUCAGAAGAUUAAUUACACCAUCCCAAUUGGAGCUUCACCAAGACCUAAAGACAAAUGCUCCGUAAAUGGCAAGCCUUUUGAACCUGAAGUACGAGCUGAUAUUCAGACAUUUGCCAAUCAGACUGUGUUUGAGAUUUUGUUUUCAGCUCGUUAAUGAUACUGGGCGCUACACUCUCACACUGGGGAGUCCUCAGCUUCUGCCAGUGUCACUGUGCAAGAUCGACCAUCUCCACCUGAAGGUCCUCUAGUGGUUAGCAAUAUAACAAAGGAGGGCGCUCGCCUUACGUGUAAGGUACGACUUGGUUGAUUGUGGAAGUCCCAUUCUGCAUUACAUUGUGGAGAAAAUGGAUGUGUCAAGGGGCACAUGGGCAGAUGCAGGCAUGGCUUCAGGUCUAUCUCAUGACGUAACAAGACUAAUACAUCGGAAGGAGUACCUCUUCCGAGUAAAGGCUGUCAAUAGCAUAGGAGAGUCUGAUCCUCUUGAGACAGCAAAGAGCAUCAUUGCGAAGAAUGAAUUUGGUAUGUAAUCACAUACGAUUCUGUGAAAAUAAAAUAAUAAUCAAAUAUA